rnacentral:rRNA from 1 species
UACAGAGGGUGCAAGCGUUGUUCGGAAUUACUGGCGUAAGCGCGACGCAGGCGGAGUCCUGUAAGUCGGAAGUGAAAUCUCACUGCUCAACGGUGAGACUGCUACUGAUACUGCGGAUCUGGAGACCGGUAGAGGCUGGUAGAAUUGCAGGUGUAGCGGUGGAAUGCGUAGAGAUCUGCAAGAAUACCCGUGGCGAAGGCGGC